rnacentral:rRNA from 1 species
AUGUCUCAACUUCCAAUGAGAAACCUUGUGAACAACCUAGGCACCAUCGCGCGCUUGGGCACCAAGGAGUUCAUGGAGGCGCUGCAGGCGGGGGUGGGCGUGAGCAUGAUCGGCCAGUUUGGGGUCGGCUUCUACUUGGCCUACCUCGUUGCCGACAAGGUGGUGCUCAUCACCAAGCACAAUGACAAUGAGUAG